rnacentral:rRNA from 1 species
GAUGAACGCUGGCGGCGUGCCUAAUACAUGCAAGUCGAGCGAAUGGAUUAAGAGCUUGCUCUUAUGAAGUUAGCGGCGGACGGGUGAGUAACACGUGGGUAACCUGCCCAUAAGACUGGGAUAACUCCGGGAAACCGGGGCUAAUACCGGAUAACAUUUUGAACCGCAUGGUUCGAAAUUGAAAGGCGGCUUCGGCUGUCACUUAUGGAUGGACCCGCGUCGCAUUAGCUAGUUGGUGAGGUAACGGGUCACCAAGGCAACGAUGCGUAGCCGACCUGAGAGGGUGGUCGGCCACACUGAGACUGGGACACGGCCCAGACUCCUGCGGGAGGCAGCAGUAGGGAAUCUUCCGCAAUGGACGAAAGUCUGACGGCGCAACGCCGCGGGGGUGAUGAAGGCUUUCGGGUCGUAAAACUCUGUUGUUAGGGAAGAACAAGUGCUAGUUGAAUAAGCUGGCACCUUGACGGUACCUAACCAGAAAGCCACGGCUAACUACGUGCCAGCAGCCGCCGUAA